rnacentral:rRNA from 1 species
GUGGGGAAUAUUGGGCAAUGGGCGAAAGCCUGACCCAGCAACGCCGCGUGAAGGAAGAAGGAUCUAUGGUUCGUAAACUUCUUUUGCAGGGGAAUAAAGUGCAGGACGUGUCCUGUUUUGUAUGUACCCUGAGAAUAAGGAUCGGCUAACUCCGUGCCAGCAGCCGCGGUAAUACGGAGGAUCCGAGCGUUAUCCGGAUUUAUUGGGUUUAAAGGGUGCGUAGGUGGUUUGAUAAGUCAGCGGUGAAAGUUUGCAGCUUAACUGUAAAAAUGCCGUUGAAACUGUCGGACUUGAGUGUAAAUGAGGUAGGCGGAAUGCGUGGUGUAGCGGUGAAAUGCAUAGAUAUCACGCAGAACUCCGAUUGCGAAGGCAGCUUACUAAGCUACAACUGACACUGAAGCACGAAAGCGUGGGGAUCAAACAGGAUUAGAAACCCGGGUAGUCC